rnacentral:rRNA from 1 species
AGAUUGAACGCUGGCGGCAUGCUUUACACAUGCAAGUCGAACGGUAACAGGCCGCAAGGUGCUGACGAGUGGCGAACGGGUGAGUAAUGCAUCGGAACGUGCCCAGUCGUGGGGGAUAACGCAGCGAAAGCUGUGCUAAUACCGCAUACGAUCUAUGGAUGAAAGCGGGGGACCGAAAGGCCCGCGCGAUUGGAGCGGCCGAUGUCAGAUUAGCUAGUUGGUGGGGUAAAGGCCCACCAAGGCGACGAUCUGUAGCUGGUCUGAGAGGACGACCAGCCACACUGGAACUGAGACACGGUCCAGACUCCUACGGGAGCAGCA